AAGUGUCAAGUCGCGAUGUUACCAUCAGACCAAAAUAAGGAUAAAGAAAAAAUUACGGCACCUGAAAGACUAAAACGCAAACGAUUGUAUAUUCCUCCCUUAAAGAUCAAUGAUGGAGGAAUGAAAGAUACAAAUUUGAUGGCUACCGACUUUCAAAAUGAUCAUAAUGCGAACGGCAACGAACCGAAUAUGCUGAAAAAACAUUUACCCUCAAGGGCCAUUGUCACCACGACUUCACAGUUGCAGACGAAUUCUCAAACAACUUCGACCACGACUCGAGUCAAAUCCUCCAGCUCCUCAACGACCACAUCCACACAGAGGUUACGACUAGCCUCUCCUUCCGACCUUAAGGCAGAUAAUAUGCGAAGCGACUUGGUCGAUUUCAAGAACAACAUGAACGAUAUGAAAAACAGCCUUUCCGGUUACCAUCAAUCCGGCUACCGAUUGCCCGACAACCUAAAGAAAUUGACCAGUUCGUUGGAUAACUUGGUUAGUACCAGCUACAAAUACCCCUGUCCCGCAAAAUUAAACGUGAACAACGAUGGCGAUUCCUUGGAGGAUAUUUCGCAACCGGUAGUCACUUAUCCUGACGAGAGUAUGUCUCCGUCCGAAGCGGGUUCUCCCCAACCAAAUAAUGCCAUAAAUAAUGUGGAAAGUUUGAAAUUCGAACAGAAAACAACGAAUAAAAAGACAAAGGUGAUUAAAGAUGGGUUGACGGCAGAAAAAGAAAGCACGAAGCACGCAGAAAUGAAGAAAAUACAAGCAGGAGAUUUAACGUAUGAAGAAAAUAAAGCCGCGGCAGCCACUAGAGCUAGGCUAGAAAUUGACGGAAUAUCAGCAGAGAAAAGCCAAAUAAAAGCAAAAGAGGCGCGCAGCUUGAAGACGGGUGACGUGAGCCAACAGGAAUCGAAGAAUUUGGCCCACACGAACCUAAAACUCACCACGGACAAAUUCAGCACGGAAAAAUCGGCCACCGAAUCUCAACAACAAUCGCAAACCAUAACAGCUAGCGGAAUCUACAAUCAGGAACAGCACAGCAGAAGCAGUAGUACUGCGGUAUAUUCAACAUCGUCGAAAGGGAUUAGCACAUCAUCCAAAAUGCUUACACAGUUUCACGAACUUAUGAACGGAAAUCCCGAAGACGAAAUUUUAUACACACCAUUAGACGAUCUGGAACAACUUUCCGCUGGCUCAAAUUAUGCAGACGUAGAAAGGGCUAUUCACAAAUACACAACUUAUCUUGAUAAAUCAGUUAAAUGUAUCCAAGAAGCUACCAGCAAUCCUAAGGCACCUCAAAUAUUGGACAAAAUGAACGAUGUGAUUAAAACUGCGUGGGCAGUACCCACUUACGGUCACGAAUUAGGGUACACUUUGUGUAACGCUUUAAGAAAAUGCGGAGGAUUAGAUUUGCUUUUAAACAACUGCACCAAUACAAAUAACGAUUUACAGUUUCACAGCGCUAAGCUGUUGGAACAAUGCUUAACCACAGAAAAUAGAGAUUAUGUUGUAGAACAUGGACUUGACAAAGUUGUUAAAGUAGCUUGCGUUUGCAUUAAAAACACCAACUCUGUUGAUCAUUCUAGAGUAGGUACUGGUAUUUUGGAACAUCUGUUCAAACACAGCGAAGAAACUUGCAGUGACGUAGUAAAGCUCGGUGGUUUAGAUGCCCUCUUGUUCGAAAUCAGAAAGAAAGAUGUGGAGACAUUACGACACUGCGCUGGUGCCUUAGCCAACUUAAGCCUUUAUGGUGGCGCUGAAAACCAAGAGACUAUGAUCGAACGAAACGUACAGAUGUGGCUGUUUCCCUUAGCCUUUCACACUGACGAUAACAUUAAAUAUUACGCUUGCCUUGCCAUUACCGUACUGGUAGCUAAUGCCGAAAUAGAAGCCGUAGUUAUUCAAUCUGGUACUUUAGAUUUAGUAGAACCCUUCGUUACCAUUCACAAUCCUUCUCAGUUCGCAAAAUCAAAUUUAGCACACGCUCACGGACAAAGUAAAACGUGGUUGAAGCGAUUAGUACCAGUAUUGAGCUCAAAACGCGAAGAAGCGCGGAACUUGGCAGCUUUUCACUUCUGCAUGGAAGCAGGAAUAAAAAGACAGCAGGGCAACACAAACAUUUUUCAAGAAAUCGGCGCUGUCGAAGCCCUGAAAAAAGUUGCCAGUUGUCCUAAUGCUGUAGCAUCGAAAUAUGCAGCUCAAGCUUUAAGACUAAUCGGGGAAGAAGUUCCCCAUAAACUCAGCCAACAAGUGCCCCUCUGGUCCUCUGAAGACGUUGAACAGUGGGUUAGACAAAUUGGGUUUUCCGAAAUAGUUCCGAGUUUUGUGGAAAGCCGAGUAGACGGUGAUCUUUUGCUUCAACUGACGGAGGAUAAUUUAAAAGACGACAUUGGUCUUACGAAUGGGAUCAAACGAAAAAGAUUCACAAGAGAACUACAAAAACUCAAAAGAAUGGCAGACUAUACGUCUAGAGAUUCCGCAAACAUAAACAACUUUUUACAAUCCCUUGGACCAGAAUUCUGUAUAUACACUUACAGUCUAUUAAAUGCCGGCAUUGAAACUAAAGAUGCUUUAAGAAACAUCUCCGAAGAUCAGUUGCUGAACGAAUGUUCCAUUUGCAAUUCCAUUCACAGGUACAGAAUCAUGGAAGGCAUCAGACAGUUAGAAAAUAGAAUAGGCAGCGAUCUCAACGAAGACAAUCCUGACAAAUCGUUAGACGUCUUCGUCAGCUACAGACGAUCAAACGGAUCACAAUUAGCUAGUUUGCUCAAAGUCCAUCUACAGCUAAGAGGCUUUAGCGUAUUCAUAGAUGUUGAAAGGCUAGAAGCCGGAAAAUUUGAUAACAAUUUGUUACAAAGUAUUCAAAAAGCCAAGCACUUCUUAUUAGUAUUGACACCCAAUGCUCUGGAGAGGUGCAAGGACGACCACGACAAGAAAGACUGGGUACACAGGGAAAUUGUAGCAGCUCUGUCAGCUAAUUGUAAUAUCAUCCCCAUAAUCGAUAAUUUCACAUUCCCCGAACCUGACGAUCUGCCAGAGGAUAUGAGACAAAUCUGUCACUUUAAUGCUGUAAGGUGGAUUCAUGACUAUCAAGAUGCAUGUGUGGACAAACUUGAAAGGUUUGUCACUGGAGCAGCAAACAUCAGUGACUCUUCUUAACUAUGUGCUAAUUUUAAAUGCUAGAUAUACAUAGCAAUCUAGUUAUAGUAAUGCAUGUUUUUUUGAAGUAUAUCUAAUGUGUGGGCGCUUUUUUGUUAGCACUAAACUAUACAAUGUAAACUUAAACUCUUUUAUAAGGAGAUUAUAUACACUGAUACAAUGUUAGAUAAACAUAUAGAUACAUACAUACUAUGUAAAUUACACAGUACUGUAUUUGAAACCAAAUAUAAGCAAUAUUGUUUUAACAUGCUGCACAAAUACGCAUCCUAAGGUUCAUGCGCGGAGAGCUGAACACCAGAAGCAACGAAGGUAGUCUGAUGAGAAUGGGCCUGGGCAAAGGUGACCUAACGCCCGGAACUCCUUCUAAUCCAGCAUUAGUCAGACAGCCACCUAGCUACCAGAGGA
rnacentral:misc_RNA from 1 species